AUGGAGAUGUCAGUGACGCGACAGGGGGUUUCUCUCCUGCACGCUCCUGCUCCUGUUGAGAGUCUCCUCGUGCACUCCGUCGCCGCCCCACUCCCUCUCUCUCUCUCCGGCGGCUCUGCCGUCCGGCGUGAGGAUGGGUUAGGUGGUUGCUCUCCCUCUGUUCAUAGUAGUCUUAGGUUUAGGUGUAGGUUGUGUCUUGCCUCCGUGGCGUCUGGCGUUAUGCCGUUCUCGAGCUCCCCAUCGAUGCGUCCAGGCAGCGUUCGGUGCUCGCCGGGUUCCUCCCGAGCUUGCCGUCCAUGGAGGACGGCAGCAGAUAGGAGUGGAUCUGGCAAGAGCUAUCCCUCUCCAAUAAGCAUGUUAUCUUCCCUGAUCUGGAGGGCAACCAUCUGCUGUUGCUUGCUUUUUCAGGCCAUCAUGGGGGUGGAUGAGGAGCAGGGAAGAUGCAGAAAUCUGAAGCCUGCAGAUCGAGCUUAUCAGCAGAUGAUUCCAUGGUGGAGCUACGGCGCCCUUGGCUGGCUGCCGGUCUUCACCGGUGCUCUGCUUCUUCUGGUCGAAGGGCGACCGACUUUAUUCCUCCUGGCUUGCGUGCCUUAUGGGAGGCAGUUUCAGCUGCAACUCGGAGGCCAUGCGAAGCAGGUUAUGCUUCUAUGGCGAUUUCGUCGCACCAAGUGGUUCGUCCCCGGCGGCGGCGAGAUUCAAUCCGGGCGGCGGCUGUCAAGGACCUGA
rnacentral:rRNA from 1 species